rfam:Neotoma lepida isolate 417 scaffold_2349, whole genome shotgun sequence.
GGAUGUGUGGCUCAGUGGUAGAGUGCUAGCCUCUCAUGCACAAGGCCCUGGGUUCAACCCUCAGCACAGCCA